UACGUAGGGUGCAAGCGUUGUCCGGAAUUAUUGGGCGUAAAGAGCUCGUAGGCGGUUUGUCGCGUCUGCCGUGAAAGUCCGGGGCUCAACUCCGGAUCUGCGGUGGGUACGGGGCAGACUAGAGUGAUGUAGGGGAGACUGGAAUUCCUGGUGUAGCGGUGAAAUGCGCAGAUAUCAGGAGGAACACCGAUGGCGAAGGCAGGUCUCUGGGCAUUAACUGACGCUGAGGAGCGAAAGCAUGGGGAGCGAACAGG
rnacentral:rRNA from 1 species